rnacentral:rRNA from 1 species
GAUGAACGCUGGCGGCGUGCUUAACACAUGCAAGUCGAACGAUGAAGCCCAGCUUGCUGGGUGGAUUAGUGGCGAACGGGUGAGUAACACGUGAGUAACCUGCCCUUAACUCUGGGAUAAGCCUGGGAAACUGGGUCUAAUACCGGAUAGGAGCGUCCACCGCAUGGGGGGUGUUGGAAAGAUUUAUCGGUUUUGGAUGGACUCGCGGCCUAUCAGCUUGUUGGUGAGGUAAUGGCUCACCAAGGCGACGACGGGUAGCCGGCCUGAGAGGGUGACCGGCCACACUGGGACUGGGACACGGCCCAGACUCCUACGGGAGGCAGCGGUGGGGAAUAUUGCACAAUGGGCGCAAGCCUGAUGCAGCGACGCCGCGUGGGGGAUGACGGCCUUCGGGUUGUAAACCUCUUUCGGUAGGGAAGAAGCGAAAGUGACGGUACCUGCAGAAGAAGCACCGGCUAACUACGUG